GACGAACGCUGGCGGCGUGCCUAAUACAUGCAAGUCGAGCGAAUGACGAGGAGCUUGCUCCUCUGAUUUAGCGGCGGACGGGUGAGUAACACGUGGGCAACCUGCCCUGUAGACUGGGAUAACUUCGGGAAACCGGAGCUAAUACCGGAUAAUCCAUUUUACCUCAUGGUGAAAUGUUGAAAGGCGCUUUCGGGCGUCACUACAGGAUGGGCCCGCGGUGCAUUAGCUAGUUGGUGGGGUAACGGCCUACCAAGGCGACGAUGCAUAGCCGACCUGAGAGGGUGAUCGGCCACAUUGGGACUGAGACACGGCCCAAACUCCUACGGGAGGCAGCAGUAGGGAAUCUUCCACAAUGGACGAAAGUCUGAUGGAGCAACGCCGCGUGAGUGAUGAAGGUUUUCGGAUCGUAAAACUCUGUUGUAAGGGAAGAACAAGUACGUUAGGAAAUGAACGUACC
rnacentral:rRNA from 1 species